UUCUCAAAGAGAUUCCAAGCUUCUUCGAGCAUGCCAAUCAUAACUGUAACAUCAUGUCUUCUCUUGCAGGCCCACUUUGCUCUUCCAAAGACUGCAUUGCCUUUACUGAAGGCCAGCUACAUCGAUGGCACACCACAUGAACAUGAUGAGUCGUCCUGUGAAGGAACCGAGCCAUCUGCAAUACAACCGCUGUUUGGAAACUUCAUCUUCUUACUGAGCUUGGCUGUCUGCUACAUGCUCCCUGUGGAGUGGAACAUCCACAAACAUUUUAAAGGAAUAGCUUUGUGUCCCACCAAAGGCACCCAUCCCUGGGUCUCUUAAGCUGCCAGGCGUCAGUGCUGUUUUGCACAGACGAUGCUAUUAAUAGCAUUGCAGUCUUUGGUUUCAAUGGAGAGGCUCUCAGGGACUUACCCUGGGAAUAGAGACAUCAGCAGAUUUCCAGAUGUUUCUUGGUUAUUGGAAUACCCUGACAGAUUUUUAGCUGUCAGGUUCUUCAGUCCAGCAAUCCAGAUGUUCUUUCUCUGCCAUUUGUCAUGGGGUAUAGCCAGGAUCUUAACUACUAGACACCUCUAGUACUCUAAUAGAGUGUUAAUGGCAUUGGCAACACAGGGUAUGAGAAAUAACCUCAAUUUAAGUUAUUUUGUGGCAUCAGAACACAGUACCAUUUAUGCUUUCUGUAAAAAUAUCCUUUGUAUCUUCCAGCUUCUGGCACUACUGACUUUGGAUCUGUGGGCAGUAUUUGGAUCAAGAGCAGUACUGUUGCAGAUUGAAAACUCAGGGAGACGCACACACAUGUACUCCAGGUGCUGAUGACUGAACACUUAGACUCACACAUCAUAUGUGGCUCAGCUGGACACAGCUCAAGUGAGCUGCACAUAUAUUCUCCCUCUACAACCCACUAUAAAGGAGUGGGUGCUCUCUGGAACAUUCUAACACCACUGCAGAGGCUCAGAACAGAGUAACAAUCACUGGUGUGGACAAUGUAUCUAAGGCUUAAGCUGUCUUGGAGAUGUCAGCAGUCAUCAUCAUUGUGGGACGCCUGACUUGCCAGCAAGAAAGACGCCACAGCAGGAUCCUUCUGCAACACGUUUCCUAGAACUGG